rnacentral:tRNA from 4 species
AGGGGUAUAGUUCAACGGUAGAAUGUCGGUCUCCAAAACCGCUGAUGAGGGUUCGAUUCCUUCUACCCCUGCCA